UACGAAGGGGGCUAGCGUUGCUCGGAAUCACUGGGCGUAAAGGGUGCGUAGGCGGGUCUUUAAGUCAGGGGUGAAAUCCUGGAGCUCAACUCCAGAACUGCCUUUGAUACUGAAGAUCUUGAGUCCUGGAGAGGGUCGUGGAAUUCCCGGUGUAGCGGUGAAAUGCGUAGAGAUCGGGAGGAACACCAGAGGCGAAGGCGGCGACCUGGAUAGGCACUGACACUCAACUACGAAAGCGUGGGGAGCAAACAGG
rnacentral:rRNA from 1 species